CGAUUUUUAAAUGCUCACUUGAGAAUAGGAAAGGUGUUUCUUAACAAUAUUUCAAAAGAUUGACUUUUCUUACCUUUCAUUUUUAGAAUUAUUUAUAUUUUUAAGAAUCAUUUUAGGUGCCCAGUAUCGGGUCAACUGCACCAGUAUCGGGUCACUUCAAGUUUCUUUGUUUAUUGUAUAAAAGCGUUUGUUUUACGGCAAUUUUCGAUCAUUUUGUAUAGUUUCAACAUGUCUUAAGUUAUUAACAAUUUUUUUGUGAGGUUUUGACAAGGUUUAGACAUGAUAUUUCCAGCUUGAAACUACCUCUUCUACACAGUUUUUGCGGAGUGCGUUCUAAGCAGUGCUUCCACUUUCAAAGGUUG